GUCUGAUGGAGCACGCCGCGUGAGUGAUGAAGGGUUUCGGCUCGUAAAGCUCUGUUAUUGGAGAAGAAAGAUAGAGAUAGUAACUGCUCUUUGUUUGACGGUAUCCUACCAGAAAGGCACGGCUAACUACGUGCCAGCAGCCGCGGUAAUACGUAUGUGGCAAGCGUUGUCCGGAUUUAUUGGGCGUAAAGCGAGCGCAGGCGGUUAUUUAAGUCUGAUGUGAAAGCCUUCGGCUUAACCGUAGAAUUGCAUCGGAAACUGGAUGACUUGAGUGCAGAAGAGGAGAGUGGAACUCCAUGUGUAGCGGUGAAAUCGGG
rnacentral:rRNA from 1 species